UGGCUCAGGGGUUAAGAGCACUGGUUGCUCUUAACCAGAAGACCUGGGUUCAAUUCCCAG
rnacentral:tRNA from 1 species